rnacentral:lncRNA from 1 species
GUGAGGGAACACUCACAGCAGGUGAUAUGAGAACACUCAGAGAAGGUGAGGGAACACUCGGAGCAGGGGAUAUGAGAACACUCAGAGAAGGUGAUAUGAGGUCUCUCAGAGAAGGUGGGGGAACACUCCGAGAAGGUGAUAUGAGAACACUCAGAGAAGGUGACAUGAGCACACCCAGAGCAGGAGAUAUGAGAACACUCAGAGAAGGUGAUAUGAGAACACUCAGAGCAGGUGAGGGAACACUCAGAGCAGGUGAGGGAACACUCAGAGCAGGUGAGGGUACACUCAUAGCAGGUGCUAUGAGAACACUCAGAGAAGGUGAGGGAACACUCGGAGCAGGGGAUAUGAGAACACUCAGAGAAGGUGAGGGAACACUCGGAGCAGGGGAUAUGAGAACACUCAGAGAAGGUGAGGGAACACUCGGAGCAGGGGAUAUGAGAACACUCAGAGCAGGUGAUAUGAGAACACUCAGAGAAGAUGAUUUGAGAACACUAAGAGCAGGUGAUAUGAGAACACUCAGAGAAGAUGAUUUGAGAACACUCAGAGAAGGUGACAUGAGCACACCCAGAGCAGGGGAGGGAACACUCAGAGAAGGUGAGGGAACACUCAGCUAAGGUUAUAUGAGAACACCCUGAGCAGGAGAUAUGAGAACACUCAGAGAAGGUGAUAUGAGAACACUCAGAGAAGGUGAUAUGAGAACACUCAGAGCAGGUAAGGGAACACUCAGAGCAGGUGAGGGAACACUCAGAGCAGGUGAGGGUACACUCAGAGCAGGUGAUAUGAGAACACUGAGAGCAGGUGAGGGAACACUCAGAGCAGGUGAUAUGAGAACACUCAGAGCAGGUGAGGGAACAUUCGGAGCAGGUGAGGGUACACUCAUAGCAGGUGCUAUGAGAACACUCAGAGAAGGUGAGGGAACACUCGGAGCAGGGGAUAUGAGAACACUCAGAGAAGGUGAUAUGAGAACACUCAGAGAAGGUGGGGGAACACUCAGAGAUGGUGAUAUGAGAACACUCAGAGAAGGUGAUAUGAGAACACUCAGAGAAGGUGAUAUGAGAACACUCAGAGAAGGUGAUAUGAGAACACUCAGAGCAGGUGAUAUGAGAACACUCAGAGAAUGUGGGGGAACACUCAGAGAAGGUGAUAUGAGAACACUCAGAGAAGGUGGGGGAACACUAAGACCAGGUGAUAUGAGAACACUCAGAGCAGGUGAUAUGAGAACACUCAGAGAAGGUAUAUGAGAACAAUCAGAGCAGGUGAUAUGAGAACACUCAGAGCAGGUGAUAUGAGAACACUCAGAGAAGGUAUAUGAGAACACUCAGAGAAGGUAUAUGAGAACAAUCAGAGCAGGUGAUAUAAGAACACUCAGAGAAGAUGAUUUGAGAACACUCAGAGCAGGUGAGGGAACACUCAGAGCAGGUGAGGGAACACUCAGAGCAGGUGAGGGUACACUCAUAGCAGGUGCUAUGAGAACACUCAGAGAAGGUGAGGGAACACUCGGAGCAGGGGAUAUGAGAACACUCAGAGAAGGUGAGGGAACACUCGGAGCAGGGGAUAUGAGAACACUCAGAGAAGGUGAUAUGAGG